rnacentral:rRNA from 1 species
UACGGGGGGGGGCAAGCGUUGUUCGGAAUUACUGGGCGUAAAGGGCUCGUAGGCGGCCAACUAAGUCAGACGUGAAAUCCCUCGGCUUAACCGGGGAACUGCGUCUGAUACUGGAUGGCUAGAGGUUGGGAGAGGGAUGCGGAAUUCCAGGUGUAGCGGUGAAAUGCGUAGAUAUCUGGAGGAACACCGGUGGCGAAGGCGGGUCUCUGGGCCGAUACUGACGCUGAGGAGCGAAAGCGUGGGGAGCGAACAGG